rnacentral:piRNA from 1 species
UUCAUGUACGUAUUCGUGAUGUAGGGAGG